ACGCAGAGGAGACCUUCUCUCGAGCAUUCAAGCUGCUAUUGAAUAAAGGUCAAUUGAUGGAAGGACAGCACGUUACCCUUGUCCAGAGUGGAGCACAACCUAUCUGGCGUCUAAAAUCUACUCAUCACAUUCAAGUUUGCAAGGUCCAGUCCUAAUUUUGUAAUGAUAACGGGUUUUUGUUUGAGCAGCUGAUAUUUAUUUUGAACGUUAUUUUAUCUUUGUUUAAUUACUAGUUUUGUUGUUCCGAGAGUGAACUUGAAAAAAUCCUAAUGAGUUUGAAUACCUCAAGGGCAAUUUUUUUUUGCAAAGAUGUUGAUGUGGAAAAAAUUACUCUACUGAUUGGAUUAGAUUAUAUGUUAUGAAGAUCACUAAAGUCCUGCGACAAUUCUUCUGGUAUUUUGAAGUGCUAUUUAUUUUUGAC